GAGAGAGAGAAAAAGAGACAGAAAUGCUUGAGAGGAGAACCACAGGGAAGAAGGAGAAGGAGAUGAAGGCUGAUGCAAUCUCUUCGGAAAGCCACAUGGUGAUGGAUGCACUUUUUUCUUAUAAGAAGAAAAGGCCCCGGCUGGGAUCACCUUGAUGGCGUUUUGCUCCAAUCGUCUGGAACCAAACAUACACAGAUCAUUGACGGAUGAUCAUUUGACAUUAAAAUUGUUUCGCUAUUCUUAAUUACGGAGGGUGCUUUGGAGGCCGCCGGCAUUGCGCAAAUAAUUUGUGAUACUCUAAGUCCCUUUGAUGAUGGCUGCCAAAGUCUAGGGAGGGGCUCCAGUGACAGAGCAUUUACAAAACAUUUCGCAUCACUGUGAUGAGAGCUACCAUUUGCAAGCCAACUACUGGACUGUGAAAUAUUGCCUGCCAGUGAGUUUGUUUUACAUUUACACUGCAUCACAUUUCUGUGCAUUCACGGCGCUGUUGUGCCUCCACCAUGGCAGUUUUAUUUUCAUUGGAAGAAAAUGUUUUGUGGAGCGGAUUUGAAUGAUUUUGAUCGGAUUUGGCGGCGGAGCCAGGAAACAAGAGUUCAUCCCACAAAGGCAAGGAAUCAUCUCCUAUUUUCAUCAUUUCUGCACAUAGAUCAUCGCUAUUAGAUCCAUCGUCAUGAAUUUUGACCACCCCGACCAUUAGUGGUAAAACGAUGGCUCCAAAACGCCAGUGGUGUGUUUUAAGACGCCAAAUGUGUGCUUGCAAUCAGAGCACUGGAAUAUUCGUGGUUGCCUGUCAUAAACUGAAGUAUGCAUUC